rnacentral:rRNA from 1 species
CCUACGGGCGGCAGCAGUGGGGAAUAUUGCACAAUGGGGGAAACCCUGAUGCAGCGACGCCGCGUGAGUGAAGAAGUAAUUCGUUAUGUAAAGCUCUAUCAGCAGGGAAGAUAAUGACGGUAUCUGAGUAAGAAGCACCGGCUAACUACGUGCCAGCAGCCGCGGUAAUACGUAGGGGGCAAGCGUUAUCCGGAUUUACUGGGGGUAAAGGGAGCGUAGACGGCAGUGCAAGUCUGGAGUGAAAGGCGAGGGCUCAACCCUAGGACUGCACUGGAAACUGUACGGCUGGAGUGUAGGAGAGGUAAGUGGAAUUCGUAGUGUAGCGGUAAAAUGCGUAGAGAUUAAGAGGAAUACUAGUGGCGAAGGCGACUUGCUAGAACAUAACUGACGCUGAGGCGCGAAAGCGUGGGGAGCAAACAGGAUUAGAUACCCCAGUAGUC